rnacentral:piRNA from 1 species
UACUUGCUAAGGUAGCUCCGGUGAGU